rnacentral:lncRNA from 1 species
CCAUUCGAGCAGUAACUAGUUAUCGAUCUCCGUACCAUAAUUGCCCAGUAUCUUCUUCUCCCCAAGCUGCGUGCCCAAUUUUUCCCUCACCGGUGAAGGAAGAGACCAAACGAGAGAUCGCGUAGCUGGCAGACAACAGUCCUGCAGUUUUAGAGACCCAAUUGUCUUAAACUUAUGGUCCAAUAUAUAAAAUUUUAUCAUUUCGAGAAUAAAAACAAGCCAAGUAAAAUAUAAU